CGGUCGCGCGCUCGCGGAUCCGCGGAUCAUAUUAAUCAGAUCCAACAAGCAACGUAAGUGUCGCUUCCGAAAGUAUUCCUUCGAAAGAAGGAGAAACUGAGCCACGAGAAACCGCAAAAACAUCACCAAAAGAUACUGCGGCGAUAGACAAAUCGAAAGAAGAGAGGUUACAGGAAUCGCAGAAGCAUCGGUGGGAGCUAUCGUCGAGCAACUACGACAUCACCAGCACAAUCGGCUGCGAAAAAAACCGCUACGAGUUCUCCAGUGAUCGAUACCUGGCCGGAUCGUCACGACGGCCCGCGCACGACGGCAGGCUAUCCAGUACUGAGACGCCGCGCUACAUCGUCUCUUCCACCGAACGUCUCCUGGCGUCGACGUCCUCUUCGUCGUCCUUUUCGUCAGAGACUACGACUCAAAUCUCUCUGCCGUCCGUCCGUGCGGCGUGCCUUCCUUCGGAACGCGCGACGGCCUUCCCUACUGGUCUUCCGCAACUCGUCCCAAGCAACUGGACGGAUCAACCAAAGCGGCGAUCUCAAGCACCAGCGGUAAAACCACUGUCACAAAGACAACAAUAACUACCAAAGCCGCGACGACAACAACAGCAGUGACGCGAAAAUUGGGUAUCAGAAAAGUGCAUCAUGCCUAAGGAUAUUCGAUAUUUAACAAAAAGACGAAGAAAUCAAUUAAUAAAUAUAGAGAUAAAUAGUAGAGAUAAUAGUAAUAGAAAAGAUUUGAUACA